CCUGCGGAGGGGCCGGCUGGCUCCCCGCGGACAGAGGCGAGCCGGGAGCGCUCGCGCACCAGCCAACUGCCCCCUUCUGAGUGCGGAGCGCGGUCCUCCAGCGACUGCACUAGCAAAGUGGCCCGCUGCCACCGCGUUAUUCACCUAGUGGAGGCGGCCUGAUUUACUGGCGACUUCACAAACCCAACUCCACGCUGGAGCAUUUGCAUGGCUCUGUUCUCGCCUCGAGGAGCAGCCACUAGCGAACCCGGUGGAGCAGCUUGCUGCGAGAAGGAGCCGGGAGGGAAACUGUGAGCCUUGGAAAGAUGGGCAAAUGCUCUGUGACAAGCCACCAGGGUAGACUGGUACUGAAAAGACCCUACUACACACAGGGGCUCUGUCCCUGGCUGGAAAGUUACAAGUCAGCCUACCUCUCUGUGAUCUGGUUUCCACACCUACUACUCUUUAUCCCAUGAGGAGCUUCUGGAAACUAAAAUAGCAGCUGCCCAGGUAGAAGAGUGUUGACCAAAGGACACAUCACCAGCACAGACUGUUAAUCAUGUGACUAGAGAAAACUCUCAUGGUGGCAUUCAAAUUUCCAUAUCCUUCUUCUAUGGAAAUUUCUGAGAGACCCAGAAAAGAAGCGUAACGACGAGGGAAAGUGAUUCCUGCAGACCUGAACAUUCCAGACUUACCAGGUGAUCCAGCUGUCUGUCAGCGGGAAGAGGCUGAGGCGCCCCCUUCUGGUGCAUCUGAAUAGUAAGAAACCCUGUGUAGAAAGAAACCCUGUAGCAAUUGGGCACCUUCUCCGUGAUCUGUCUGCUUCCAAUACCAAAAAUUGUUGCUUUUUAAAUGACAUCCAUCCUAAGCUUAAAAAAGACGCAUAUUAUUUGUAUAAAAUGUUGAAGACGCAGAACAAAAAAUGUAAAUCACAUGUAAUCAUCCCUUCCAGAAAUAAUCGUUAUUAAAAUUUCUGUGUAUGUGUAAAAAAAAAAAUUGCAAUCCUACUGUAAUAUAAUCCUGUAUACUGAUAUUUUUCACCUAUCACUGUAUGUUGAGCAUUUUCAAUAGUCAAAUUAUUUCUUGAAAAUAUUAAUGACUGGGGAGUAACCUUUCAAAUAGGUGUGUCUUUAUUUUUAAACCAGUCCACAAUUAUUGUAUAUUGAAGUCAUUUCCCAAAUUUUGUAAGUAUAAGUAUUGCAUCCAUCCUUAUAUGUAUUUAAAUGCAUCUCUUAUUAUUUCCUUGAGAUAAGUUCCUAGAAGUGGAAUCACUGGAUUUAAAAAUGUGGACAUAUUUAUGCCAGACGCGGUGGGUCAUGCCUGUAAUCCCAGCACUUUGGGAGACUGAAGCAGGUGGAUCACUUGAGGUCAGGAGUUCAAGACCAGCCUGGCCAACAUAGUGAAACCCCAUCUCUACUAAAAUUACAAAAAUUAGCCGGGUGUGGUAGUGCACGCCUGUAAUCCCAGCUACUCAGGAGGCUGAGGCAUAAGAAUCACUUGAACUCAGGAGGCGGAGGUUGCAGUGAGCCAAGAUGGCACCACUGCGCUCCAGUCUGGGCGACAGAGUAAGACUUCAUCUCAAAAAUAAAUAAAUAAAAUUAAAAUUAAAUAAGAUAAAUAAAAAAUAAAAAUGUGGACAUAUUUAAAUCUUCAUAUAUAUUACCAAAUGCCCUCCUGAAAGUUUUUACCUGUUACAUUCCAACCAAUAGUGUAAGGGCAUGACUCUUUCCCUGUGUUUUGGGAUGGAUGUUAUCAAAGUUCUCUCCCACCCAGGCCAAGUAUGGUAUAUGCUUUGAUUUAAUUUGAAUUUUUAAAUUAUUAUUUAAAAUGGACAUUUUGUUGUCCAUUUGAACAACUUUCUUUUGAGUCACUGUUCAUGUUCUUUGCCCAUUGUUUCUCUUUUAUUAGUAAGAACCCUAUUGUCAUUUUUAUAUUUUAAAUAAAAUUUCAUUGUAUAUACAUUUAUAUUAUCUAUAGUAAAGUAUAUUUUAUUAUUAAUGAGAACUUUUUAUAUUAAAGAU
rnacentral:lncRNA from 1 species